rnacentral:rRNA from 1 species
GGUUAAGUGACUAAGCGUACACGGUGGAUGCCUUGGCAGUCAGAGGCGAUGAAAGACGUAGUAACUUGCGAUAAGCCCAGAUUAGGUAGUAACAACCAUUUGAGUCUGGGAUUUCUGAAUGGGGAAACCCACUUACAUAAGUAAGUAUCGUUAUGUGAAUACAUAGCAUAACGAGGCGAACCGGGGGAACUGAAACAUCUAAGUACCCCGAGGAAAAGAAAUCAACCGAGAUUCCGAAAGUAGCGGCGAGCGAAAUUGGACUAGCCCUUAAGCUUUACACGCGUUAGACGAACGGUCUGGAAAGUCCGACGAUACAGGGUGAUAGUCCCGUAGUUGACGACGUGUGUUCAGUGAAAUCGAGUAGGGCGGGACACGUGAUAUCCUGUCUGAAUAUGGGGGGACCAUCCUCCAAGGCUAAAUACUACUGACUGACCGAUAGUGAACCAGUACCGUGAGGGAAAGGCGAAAAGAACCCCUGUGAGGGGAGUGAAAUAGAACCUGAAACCGUGUACGUACAAGCAGUAGGAGCAGGCUUUGUCCUGUGACUGCGUACCUUUUGUAUAAUGGGUCAGCGACUUAUAUUCAGUGGCAAGGUUAACCAUCUAGGGGAGCCGUAGGGAAACCGAGUCUUAACUGGGCGUUCAGUCUCUGGAUAUAGACCCGAAACCAGGUGAUCUAGCCAUGGGCAGGUUGAAGGUUGAGUAACAUCAACUGGAGGACCGAACCGACUAAUGUUGAAAAAUUAGCGGAUGACUUGUGGCUAGGGGUGAAAGGCCAAUCAAACCUGGAGAUAGCUGGUUCUCCCCGAAAGCUAUUUAGGUAGCGCCUCGGACGAAUACUACUGGGGGUAGAGCACUGUUAAGGCUAGGGGGUCAUCCCGACUUACCAACCCUUUGCAAACUCCGAAUACCAGUAAGUACUAUCCGGGAGACACACGGCGGGUGCUAACGUCCGUCGUGGAGAGGGAAACAACCCAGACCGCCAGCUAAGGUCCCAAAUUACUACUAAGUGGGAAACGAUGUGGGAAGGCUCAGACAGCCAGGAUGUUGGCUUAGAAGCAGCCAUCAUUUAAAGAAAGCGUAAUAGCUCACUGGUCGAGUCGGCCUGCGCGGAAGAUGUAACGGGGCUAAGUA